UUACGGUCAUAUCAUCUUGAAAGACUGGUUCUCUUGUCCGAUCACCGAAGUUAAGCAAUGUCGAGCCUGGGAUGGGUGACCACUUGGGAAUACCAGGUGCUC